rnacentral:rRNA from 1 species
GACGAACGCUGGCGGCGUGCUUAACACAUGCAAGUCGAACGAAGCUUGAUUACGGAUUCUUCGGAUGAAGUAUGAUAUGACUGAGUGGCGGACGGGUGAGUAACGCGUGAGUAACCUGCCCUUCAGAGGGGGAUAGCGGUUGGAAACGAACGGUAAUACCGCAUAAUGUAUUUUGACCGCAUGAUCGAAAUACCAAAGAUUUAUCGCUGAAGGAUGGACUCGCGUCUGAUUAGGUAGUUGGUGGGGUAACGGCCUACCAAGCCGACGAUCAGUAGCCGGACUGAGAGGUUGAUCGGCCACAUUGGGACUGAGACACGGCCCAGACUCCUACGGGAGGCAGCAGUGGGGAAUAUUGCACAAUGGGCGCAAGCCUGAUGCAGCAACGCCGCGUGAAGGAAGACGGUUUUCGGAUUGUAAACUUCUGUUCUUAGUGAAGAAUAAUGACGGUAGCUAAGGAGCAAGCCACGGCUAACUACGUG